UACGGGGGGGGCAAGCGUUGCUCGGAAUUACUGGGCGUAAAGCGUGCGCAGGCGGUUCGUUGUGUCGGUGGUGAAAUCCCCGGGCUUAACCUGGGAAUGGCCAUGGAAACUGGCGAACUGGAGUGCGGCAGAGGGGGGUGGAAUUCCGCGUGUAGCAGUGAAAUGCGUAGGGAUGCGGAGGAACACCGAUGGCGAAGGCAGCCCCCUGGGCUAGCACUGACGCUCAGGCACGAAAGCGUGGGGAGCAAACAGG
rnacentral:rRNA from 1 species